rnacentral:rRNA from 1 species
UACGUAGGGGGCAAGCGUUGUCCGGAAUUAUUGGGCGUAAAGAGCGUGUAGGCGGCCUGACAGGUCUGCUGUGAAAACUCGAGGCUCAACCUCGAGAUGUCGGCGGAAACCGUCUGGCUAGAGUCCGGAAGAGGAGAGUGGAAUUCCUGGUGUAGCGGUGAAAUGCGCAGAUAUCAGGAAGAACACCCGUGGCGAAGGCGGCUCUCUGGGACGGUACUGACGCUGAGACGCGAAAGCGUGGGGAGCGAACAGG